GCCACUUUAGCUCAGCUGGUAGAGCAACUGAUUUGUAAUCAGUAGGUCGCUGGUUCGAUCCCGGCAAGUGGCU
rnacentral:tRNA from 5 species